GCUGGGUGUAGUGGCAGGCACCUGUAAUCCCAGCUACUUGGGAGGCUGAGGCAGGAGAAUCGCUUGAACCUGGGAGGCAGAGGUUGCAGUGAGCAGAGACUGUGCCACUGCACUCCAGCCCGGGUGACAGAGUGAGACUCUGUCUCAA
rnacentral:SRP_RNA from 1 species